rnacentral:rRNA from 1 species
UACAGAGGUCCCGAGCGUUGUUCGGAUUCACUGGGCGUAAAGGGUGCGUAGGUGGCAUGGUAAGUUUGAUGUGAAAGCUCAGGGCUCAACCCUGAAAUGGCAUUGAAUACUACUGUGCUGGAGGUUUGGAGGGGGGACUGGAAUUCUUGGUGUAGCAGUGAAAUGCGUAGAUAUCAAGAGGAACACCAGUGGCGAAGGCGAGUCCCUGGACAACACCUGACACUGAGGCACGAAAGCUAGGGGAGCAAACGGG